rnacentral:rRNA from 1 species
AGUGAACGCUGGCGGUAGGCCUAACACAUGCAAGUCGAACGGCAGCACAGGAGAGCUUGCUCUCUGGGUGGCGAGUGGCGGACGGGUGAGGAAUACAUCGGAAUCUACUCUGUCGUGGGGGAUAACGUAGGGAAACUUACGCUAAUACCGCAUACGACCUACGGGUGAAAGCAGGGGACCUUCGGGCCUUGCGCGAUUGAAUGAGCCGAUGUCGGAUUAGCUAGUUGGCGGGGUAAAGGCCCACCAAGGCGACGAUCCGUAGCUGGUCUGAGACGAUAAUGAGCAACAAGGAAACUGAGACACGGUCCAACCUCCUACGGGAGGCAGCAGUGGGGAAUAUGGGACAAUGGGCGAAAGCCUGAUCCAGCCAUACCGCGUGGGUGAAGAAGGCCUUCGGGUUGUAAAGCCCUUUUGUUGGAAAAGAAAUCCAGCUGGCUAAUACCCGGUUGGGAUGACGGUACCCAAAGAAAAAGCACCGGCUAACUUCGUGCCAGCCGCCGCUGUAA